UAUUUUACGUCAACACGUUUAAAAUUUACAAGAAAUAAGACAAAUUAAUUAACAAAAAGAAAAGAGAAAAUGGAGAAGGAAUAGAAGGAAAAAACCGCAAAAGGAAAACAACUAAAGUAAACAAAACAAAAUAAAACUAAGGCGGGAAAUGUUAUGAAAGCCAGUAACACGAGCAAUUCUGUAACGCCAACCAAGUUAAAGCCCGUUCAAAAUAAGAACCUCAAAGCUUUCUGAAGCACUGAAAUAAAGACACGGACUUACAUAACAAAAUAUGGAUAAGUUACUUUAUUUAAACAAUAAACAAAAUUACAGCCUUUACUCAAAUAUAGAUCAUGAAAUUCUCGGCUGUCCAUAUAAAGUGGGUCCGAGAGGAAAAAAAGGACGUCGGCCUCGAUCAAGAGGAGUAAUUGACACGACACUUUACCUGGCCAAACCGUUUUUAGCGGUACUUUUAUUGGAGGUUUUUGCUGUUAAUGGCUCUUCUACCCCUGCGAAUUUGAUGGACACUUUUAGCAGCUUUCGACCUUUUACGCUUAAUUAUUAUCUGCUAACUUGAUAAAAGAUUCAAAGGAAAAUAAAUGAUCUGAAUAGGAUAAAA